rnacentral:ncRNA from 1 species
UAGAAGGCAAAGCACGCGAAAGCGUGUGACGCAAAGCUUUGAAUCUAAAGUUUUUUAAGACUAUGAUUGUCAGGCUGC